AUCUCUCUAUUUCUUGAACCCAGUACGAAAGGGGAGAGCAAGAACCCUCAUGUCCUCACGUUUCUCUUCUUGCAUCAGCCCCUUCUUCUCCGAAAUCUCCUGAAGAAAGCAACAAAACCCUCUCUCUCUCUCUCUCUCUCUCUCUCUCUCUCUCUCUCUCAUGUCCAUAUACAUAAACAGAACUGUGUUAGAUUGUGAAGAUCUUGAGUCACUUUCCUGUCUCUGACUCUCAUGAUGACAAUGACCUCUCUCUUCUUUUUCGCAUAAUACCAUACUUCCCUUGGUUUUAGUCAUUGCUUUGAUCAUUUAUUGUCUACUCUUGUUUAGUUUUUUCCCUGCGUACUUCCGUUUUUUCUUCCAUCUUUUUGUUGUUUUUCGUUUGCUCACUCAAGUAGCUAUGCGUGAUGGGUUUGUGCUUAUGGACAUGAAUACCAAGAACAAAAAUCUCUCCCUAUGAAAAAUUGCUGGAAAAGAUCAUAUUUAGACAUGGUGAGUGUAGGGUUUUCUUUUUAUUUCAUGCUUUCUUCUGCUUCAGAAAGUUAUUCAGCUACUGUAUCUCUUGGGUAAUUAGUGAACUGCCAAUUCAAGUGAUUAUAUUGGAUUUUUGUUCCAAUUAGUAGCUGCAGAUCCUUGUUCACGCGAUUAAUGUUUUCAGUGUUAUCUGCUGCUGUUUCAUGUGGUGGUUGUGGGACGUGGUGGGACUUAUUGUCCCGUCUUCCUUCUUCAAGGAGAGGAAAAGAUUAGCUUCUUGAGAUUGAAAGAUUUAACUGUAGGAAAAUCCGAAUGCUCCACUGUGCAGUGCAAAUAUACGCACAUAUAGAUACGAGAUUGUACCUGCGGUUAGCUCAUGAUCUUAGGGUCAGUUGGUCUUUACUGUGAAAACUUUUUUUUGUUCCUUUUCCAAGACUACUUCUUUGAUCCGUUCUUUAUAUAAUAAUUUCUUAUGAAUGAGAUCUUUAUCUGAAUCAUUCUUGAAUGAUAAUUUCUUUCUGUCUCCUCAAGAUUUUACACAGUUACCAUUAAUCAUCGGUUUGAGUUCAGUUUAUCUCAACAGUUGGGUGUAUUAGCAGGAGGGUUCUUUCGUGAAGGUAGGAUUUUUCCUAUCUGUUUGUCUUCGGAAAUCUUUCCCCCUUUCGGUCCAGUAAGAAAAAAUGUUAAAUGUUGUCUUGCGCCAAAUGAUGAAUCCAAUGGAAUAUUCCUAGGUCUUGAAUCGGGAGUUCCAAGUACGUGGUGGGUUUUCAUUUUCUUGGAUAUAUUGUCAUUGAAGGGUUCGUAGAGAUUCUUGAGUAUGAUUGAUGGGGAGACUCUUUUUGCUGAUCACGAGCAUUCAUUGUUAGUCAGAUUGUGCAGUGUGUCCUUACCCUCUUGCCUUGAACACUGACUCUCUGUUUGAUGCUUCUCCAUGUUACCUGAUGGUGCUAAUGCAUGCGCGGAUGUGGAUAUAUUUUACUCGGAGUGAAACUUGUGCUUGCUAUAUAGAUGCACAUACGUUUGCAGGCUUGGGACAAAAGCGAAACACAGGCAAAAUCUGAGUGAUGUUGGCUUCAAAGAGAUGGUGUGAGAGAGAGAGCUUUCUUCAGUCCACUCAUGGAUGGAACAAAGGGGGUUGAAAUAGCUGCCGACUCAUUCAUUCAAUCACUCAGUAGAGAAAAUGGGGCAAAUUAGUUUGUGCUUUUACUGGUGACUGUGUGAAUGAUGCGGGAGAUACUUUGCACCCCUCUUUUUCUGUGCUUGGACUGAAGGGAGCUCCUUCUCUCUCUUCUCUCUGCUAUUGUGUGUGUGAGUAGGUGUGGCCAAAUUGAGAAGCCUAGUGCCGUCUCUGUUACCAUUGUUGGAAGUUUCUUUCCUUGAGAAUCGAUGUAGUUGUUGCAUGCAAUGUGGACUCAGAAUGUCAGGUUAGAAACUUUUGAAAGUGAUGACCGGUCCACGAGGACGGAGGACCGGUACGCAAGGACGGAGGGAAUGGACCGUAGCUAUAGGCAAUGGCCGGUGGAGGCAGCUGAUGGCCAAUAUCAAGUGACCUGUGGAGAUGGGGAUGGCUUGCCCUUUAGAUGAUGCCUUCAGGCUUCAAUCAUUUCAGCUUGCCUUUUCUCAAUGUACAGAUUGGGUCGGCCUCAAAAUGCACGCUGAAGCAAAGGAGGGAAAAGAACUGGCGAGCCAAUGUGCCCCGUGGGAGUUCCCGUGCUUUUGAUGACUAAGAGCCAGAAGGACAAAAUUGCACAAAGAAGCUCUUCUUUCCGAUGUUUCCUUCGCAAAGUUUGUUGCUAAAACAUUGCUUUUAAGCAUCAACUCUUGGCGAGUAAACGGAUUAAUCUGUCUUCGUCGUGAAUUUGCACGAAGUGAUUACCUCCUGUGAUUACUGACUAUGAGAACUGAGGAGUCUCAGAUGUAGCUUCCUAUCAUUUCAUGUGGGUUAUUUUCUGCUUGGGAAAGAAUGGUAUUACUGGGACACCAUGACCCUCUUUUUAUCUUUUCUUGGCGAAGCAAAGAAACUGGAAAGGAUUACUAAACCAAACGUUGAACUUUCCAACCU